GAAGCAACACUCCCUCUGUGUGUGUUAUUAUCAGAGCUUUUCUGUUCCUUGUUUUCAUAGCUGGACUGGCAACAGACAGCAUAUUUAAUGUC